CACAACGAAGUUUCACGGAUUUGGAAUUUGCUCAUUCAAUUUCUAGCCUGAUUCACCUUUUGAGAAAGAGAAGGGUAAUGCAAUGAUUUUGAGCUGCUACAAGUGUAAGAGCUACUCCUCAUUAGCUUCAUUCUUAACAUUGGAAAGGACUGAAUCUGACUAA
rnacentral:lncRNA from 1 species